rnacentral:rRNA from 1 species
AGAGUUUGAUCCUGGCUCAGAUUGAACGCUGGCGGCAUGCUUUACACAUGCAAGUCGAACGGCAGCACGGGCUUCGGCCUGGUGGCGAGUGGCGAACGGGUGAGUAAUGCAUCGGAACGUACCGUGUAGUGGGGGAUAACGUAGCGAAAGUUACGCUAAUACCGCAUACGCCCCGAGGGGGAAAGUGGGGGACCGCAAGGCCUCACGCUAUAUGAGCGGCCGAUGUCGGAUUAGCUAGUUGGUAGGGUAAAGGCCUACCAAGGCGACGAUCCGUAGCGGGUCUGAGAGGAUGAUCCGCCACACUGGGACUGAGACACGGCCCAGACUCCUACGGGAGGCAGCAGUGGGGAAUUUUGGACAAUGGGCGCAAGCC